rnacentral:rRNA from 1 species
UACGUAGGGGGCUAGCGUUGUCCGGAAUCAUUGGGCGUAAAGGGCGCGUAGGCGGCUCGGCACGUCCGUUGUGAAAUCGCCCGGCUCAACUGGGCGGGGUCGGCGGAUACGGCCGAGCUGGAGCAAGCUAGGGGGUAAUGGAAUUCCCGGUGUAGUGGUGGAAUGCGUAGAUAUCGGGAGGAACACCAGUGGCGAAGGCGGUUACCUGGAGCUUUGCUGACGCUGAUGCGCGAAAGCGUGGGGAGCGAGUCCGG